rnacentral:snoRNA from 8 species
GACUGUUUAUGAUGAUUGUUAAAUGAAACAAUGGGAAUCUCUCUGAAUUAGACUGAAAGAGACAUCUUUAUGCUGAAACAGUG